AGAGGAAAACCAGCAACAGCGUGGGAGUUUGGGGAGAGGCAUUCCAUACCAGAUUCUGUGGCCUGCAGGUGACAUGCUGCCUAAGAGAAGCAGGAGUCUGUGACAGCCACCCCAACACGUGACGUCAUGGCCAGUAGGGAAGAUGAGCUGAGGAACUGUGUGGUAUGUGGGGACCAAGCCACAGGCUACCACUUUAAUGCGCUGACUUGUGAGGGCUGCAAGGGUUUCUUCAGGUGAGAGUCUCCUCCCCAAUGGAAAUAGCCCUCCAAACCAAACUCCCUAUUAGUCAGCCUUUACACCCUCGCUGGUGCCCAAGCCUGUCCAGCUACAUUACUCCUUUAUCUUAGAGUCUAACUACCCUGUGGCUGGCAUCCUACAUCUUGCCAAACACAUCACUGUAUAAACUGGUGGCAUAACAGAGGGAAAGCUGAAUGUUUGUCUGAUGGACACAGCCCAUUAGUCAAGAGCAUUUAUUAUGUACCCACUGCCUGUGAAGCACCUAGCUAGUACUACAUCAACUAGGCUUUCUGGAGUGAUCCUGUGUUGCCAUGGAAAUGCUUGAGAUGUGUUGGAUACUAUCCACCCCUGGGGACCUUUGGGCACAGCUCAGAUUAGUCCAUUUCACCAGAUUCCCAGGUCUUUUAGACCAUGUCAUCUCAGCCCCUCACCUAUCCAUUGCAUCCCAGACUCUAACAACAUCUCUGUGUCUCACAGGAGAACAGUCAGCAAAAGCAUUGGUCCCACCUGCCCCUUUGCUGGAAGCUGUGAAGUCAGCAAGACUCAGAGGCGCCACUGCCCAGCCUGCAGGUUGCAGAAGUGCUUAGAUGCUGGCAUGAGGAAAGACAGUGAGUUGGCCCCCUACAUCUCAAGAAUCCAUUGACUGCGUCUGUCUUUGUCCUUGUUCCCAACAGUGCAUUCUCUACAUAGCAGGCACAGUACUCUUUUUGAAACUAGUUGGAUUAUGUCACUAUUCACUCAAGACAUCCAAUGGCUCCCCAUCUCAAAGUACGUGAUCUCAUGAUCUAGCUCUCCCACAACACCUUUCAGACUUUAUUUCAUACUCUUCCCCCUUUACUCAACCAAUUCUAGCCACACUGACUUCACUGUCAUUCUUAGAAACACCAGGCCGGGCGCGGUGGCUCACGCCUGUAAUCCCAGCACUUUGGGAGGCCGAGGCAGGCGGAUCACGAGGUCAGGAGAUCGAGACCAUUCUGGCUAACACAGUGAAACCCCGUCUCUACUAAAAAAAUACAAAAAAAAUUAGCCGGCCGUAGUGGCGGGCGCCUGUAGUCCCAGCUACUCGGGAGGCUGAGGCAGGAGAAUGGCGUGAACCCGGGAGGCGGAGCUUGCAGUGAGCCGAGAUCGCGCCACUGCACUCCAGCCUGGGUGACAGAGCCAGAUUCCGACUCAAAAAAAAAAAAAAAAAAAAAAAAAA
rnacentral:lncRNA from 1 species